AAUGGGUCAGCGACUUAUAUUCUGUAGCAAGGUUAACCGAAUAGGGGAGCCGAAGGGAAACCGAGUCUUAACUGGGCGUUAAGUUGCAGGGUAUAGACCCGAAACCCGGUGAUCUAGCCAUGGGCAGGUUGAAGGUUGGGUAACACUAACUGGAGGACCGAACCGACUAAUGUUGAAAAAUUAGCGGAUGACUUGUGGCUGGGGGUGAAAGGCCAAUCAAACCGGGAGAUAGCUGGUUCUCCCCGAAAGCUAUUUAGGUAGCGCCUCGUGAAUUCAUCUCCGGGGGUAGAGCACUGUUUCGGCAAGGGGGUCAUCCCGACUUACCAACCCGAUGCAAACUGCGAAUACCGGAGAAUGUUAUCACGGGAGACACACGGCGGGUGCUAACGUCCGUCGUGAAGAGGGAAACAACCCAGACCGCCAGCUAAGGUCCCAAAGUCAUGGUUAAGUGGGAAACGAUGUGGGAAGGCCCAGACAGCCAGGAUGUUGGCUUAGAAGCAGCCAUCAUUUAAAGAAAGCGUAAUAGCUCACUGGUCGAGUCGGCCUGCGC
rnacentral:rRNA from 2 species